AUGGAGGCGGAGUAUAUUACUAUCAAUAUUCAAGAACAAGGGGGUGUUCAAAGUUGUAUUAAUUACCGUGGAAUUAAGCUGAUGAGCCAUACACCGAAGCUAUGGGAGAGAGUCAUUGAGCACCGCUUAAGAAGAAUGACAAGCGGGACCAAAAGUCAGUUUGGUUCCAUGCCUGGGAGGUCGACCAUGAAAGCCAUUUUCUUGGUACGGCAACUUAUGGAGAGAUACAGGGAGCAAAAGGACCUGCAUAUGGUGUCCAUUGACUUGGAGAAGGCCUACGAUAAGAUACCAUGGUAUGUCAUAUGGUGGGCCUUGGAGAAAAAGAAAGUCCCAACAAAGUACAUUGCCCUCAUCAAGGACAUGUACGAUAAUGUUGUGACAAGUGUUUGUACAAGUGAUGGCAACAUGACGACUUUCCGAUUGAAAUAG
rnacentral:rRNA from 1 species